rnacentral:rRNA from 1 species
AAUGAACGCUGGCGGCGUGGCUAAUACAUGCAAGUCGAGCGAACUGAUUAGAAGCUUGCUUAUAUGACGUUAGCGGCGGACGGGUGAGUAACACGUGGGCAACCUGCCUGCAAGACUGGGAUAGCUUCGGGAAACCGAGGCUAAUACCGGAUAGGAUCUUCAACUUCAUGGAACACGAUGUAAAGGAGUGUUCGGCUAUCCCCUUCGUAUGUGUGCGAGGUGCAUUAGUGAGUUGGUGAGGUAAAGGCUCGCCAAGGAAAUGAUGGAUAGCCGACGUGAGGGGGUGUUGGGGGUCACAGGGACUGAGCCGCCGCCCAGACACUGAGGGGCGGUAGAGAUAGGGAAUCUUGCGAGAUGUACGAAAGUAUGACGGAGCAACGCAGCGUGAGUGAUGAAGGCUUUCGGGUCGUAAAACUCUGUUGUUAGGGAAGAACAAGUACAAGAGUAACUGCUUGUACCUAGACGGUACCUAACCAGAAAGCCACGGCUAACUCUGUGCCAGCAGCCGCUGUAAAAC